rnacentral:rRNA from 1 species
GCGAACUGCGAAUGGCUCAUUAAAUCAGUUAUCGUAUAUUUGAUAGUACCUACUACAUGGAUAACCGUGGUAAUCUAGAGCUAAUACAUGCUUAAAAUCUCGACUUACGGAAGGGAGGUAUUUAUUAGAUUAAAAACCAAUGCCCUUCGGGGCUCACUGGUGAUUCAUAAUAACUUCUCGAAUCGCAUGGCCUUGCGCCGGCGAUGGUUCAUUCAAAUUUCUGCCCUAUCAACUUUCGACGGCUGGGUCUUGGCCAGCCGUGGUUACAACGGGUAACGGAGGGUUAGGGCUUGACCCCGGAGAAGGAGCCUGAGAAACGGCUACUACAUCCAAGGAAGGCAGCAGGCGCGCAAAUUACCCAAUCCCGACUCGGGGAGGUAGUGACAAUAAAUACUGAUACAGGGCUCUUUUGGGUCUUGUAAUUGGAAUGAGUACAAUUUAAAUCCCUUAACGAGGAACAAUUGGAGGGCAAGUCUGGUGCCAGCAGCCGCGGUAAUUCCAGCUCCAAUAGCGUAUAUUAAAGUUGUUGCAGUUAAAAAGCUCGUAGUUGAACCUUGGGCCUGGCUGGCCGGUCUGCCUCACCGCAUGCACUGGUCCGGCCGGGCCUUUCCCUCUGGGGAGCCGCAUGCCCUUCACUGGGUGUGUCGGGGAACCAGGACUUUUACUGUGAAAAAUUAGAGUGUUCAAGCAGGCUAUGCUCGAUACAUUAGCAUGGAAUAUAGAAUAGACGUCGCGGUUCUAUUUUGUUGGUUUCUAGGACCGCCCUAAUGAUUAAUAGGGACAGUCGGGGGCAUCAGUAUUUCAUCGUCAGAAGUUGAAUUCUUGGAUCGAUUGAAGACUAACUACUGCGAAGCAUUGCCCAAGGAUGUUUUCAUUUAAUCAGGAACGAAGUUUAGGGAUCGAAACGAUCAAAUACCGUUGUAGUCUUACCCUAAACAUGCCGACAAGGAUCGGGCGGUGUUAUUCUUGACCGCUCGGCCCUUACCGAAAUAAAUUUUGGUCUGGGGGGAUAUGUCCAAGUGAU